rnacentral:rRNA from 1 species
AGUGAACGCUGGCGGUAGGCCUAACACAUGCAAGUCGAACGGCAGCACAGUAAGAGCUUGCUCUUACGGGUGGCGAGUGGCGGACGGGUGAGGAAUACAUCGGAAUCUACUUUUUCGUGGGGGAUAACGUAGGGAAACUUACGCUAAUACCGCAUACGACCUACGGGUGAAAGCAGGGGAUCUUCGGACCUUGCGCGAUUGAAUGAGCCGAUGUCGGAUUAGCUAGUUGGCGGGGUAAAGGCCCACCAAGGCGACGAUCCGUAGCUGGUCUGAGAGGAUGAUCGGCCACACUGGAACUGAGACACGGUCCAGACUCCUGCGGGAGGCAGCAGUGGGGAAUAUUGGACAGUGGGCGCAAGCCUGAUCCAGCCAUACCGCGUGGGUGAAGAAGGCGUUCGGGUUGUAAAGACGGUUUGUUGGGAAAGAAAAGCAGCAGGUUAAUACCCCGCUGUUCUGACGGUACCCAAAGAAUAAGCACCGGCUAACUUCGUG